UACGGGGGGGGCGAGCGUUGUUCGGAAUUACUGGGCGUAAAGGGCGCGUAGGCGGUUCGCUAAGUUGGAUGUGAAAACUCGAGGCUUAACCUCGAGAUGUCAUCGGAAACCAUCUGGCUAGAGUCCGGAAGAGGAGAGUGGAAUUCCUGGUGUAGCGGUGAAAUGCGCAGAUAUCAGGAAGAACACCCGUGGCUAAGGCGGUUCUCUAGUACGGUACUGACGCUGAGACGCGAAAGCGUGGGGAGCGAACAGG
rnacentral:rRNA from 1 species